CGGGUGAGUAACGCGUAGGGAACCUGGCCCUUACAGGGGGAUAACAGAUGGAAACAACUGCUAAUACCGCAUAAGCGCCCAGCCUCGCAUGAGGCAGAGUGAAAAACUAAGGUGGUAAGGGAUGGCCCUGCGUCCGAUUAGCUAGUUGGUAUGGUAACGGCAUACCAAGGCGACGAUCGGUAGCCGGCCUGAGAGGGUGGACGGCCACAUUGGGACUGAGACACGGCCCAAACUCCUACGGGAGGCAGCAGUGGGGGAUAUUGCACAAUGGGGGAAACCCUGAUGCAGCGACACCGCGUGGGUGAAGAAGCACUUCGGCGUGUAAAGCCCUAUCAGUGGGGAAGAAAAAGGACGGUACCCAAAGAAGAAGCACCGGCUAAAUACGUGCCAGCAGCCGCGGUAAUACGUAUGGUGCAAGCGUUAUCCGGAAUGACUGGGUGUAAAGGGAGCGUAGACGGUUGUACAAGUCUGAUGUGAAAGCCCACGGCUCAACUGUGGGAGUGCAUUGGAAACUGUAGAACUAGAGUAUCGGAGAGGCAAGUGGAAUUCCUAGUGUAGCGGUGAAAUGCGUAGAUGUUAGGAGGAACACCAGUGGCGAAGGCGGCUUGCUGGACGAAAACUGACGUUGAGGCUCGAAAGCGUGGGGAGCAAACAGGAUUAGAUACCCUGGUAGUCCACGCUGUAAACGAUGAAUACUAGGUGUUGGGGCCC
rnacentral:rRNA from 1 species